AUACGGAGGGUGCAAGCGUUAAUCGGAAUUACUGGGCGUAAAGCGCGCGUAGGCGGCUAAGUAAGUCGGAUGUGAAAGCCCUGGGCUUAACCUGGGAAUUGCAUUCGAUACUGCUUGGCUAGAGUAUGGUAGAGGAUAGUGGAAUUCCUGGUGUAGCGGUGAAAUGCGUAGAUAUCAGGAGGAACAUCAGUGGCGAAUGCGGCUAUCUGGACCAAUACUGACGCUAAGGUGCGAAAGCGUGGGGAGCAAACAGGAUUAGAAACCCUUGUAGUCC
rnacentral:rRNA from 1 species